AAUUGAGAACGGAAAUGGUUUUUUUUUUAAUGAACACUUUUUAGGUUGCAUGCGAUGCUUGGAUCGUUUCCUGACUGCGAUGCGGUUCAGUUAGUCGUUAGCUUCGACGAACAAUGAACGCAAAGCUUGCUAAGGAGUAAUAUUAUUACUGGAGAUAUCAAGCAACUCUUCUACACAAGAUGCAACUCAUUUCGAAUCCUGAUAGGCCAUGGAUCGAGGCAAGACCAAACUUAUUUAUUGUAAACGAACAGGGAGCCAAACGAUUUUUUAACAAAAUGAAACGCAACGAAAUGAAAUGUAAACCCGCGAUGGGACGCGACGCGCACGGGAAUCGAGUUGAUGGAACUCAACUGCCUGCUAUUUGGUAUACGCGCACAGUGCGAAUCGAGUGCAACAAUAUAGAGGUGGGUAUGUAUAUACAAGGGUAUUAUAGCCUCUCGAGAAUCCGAGCGAACGUUUCACCGAGGACGCGGUUGCAUCUUGGCGAAAAAAAUUUGCGAAUAUUAUAACCCGAUACGAGAGGAAAAGAGAAGGAAUCAGGAGAGAGAGAAUUGAAAGAAGGGGGCAGAGUGCGUCGCCCGGUCGUAAGCUCGACGAAUGAUACAUGUAAUACGCCAUCAUCGGGGAUCAUUAUCACGAAUUUGAGUUCGGAAUCAACGGAUUUGCAAGAACCGAAUCGAUUGCCCAAGAAGAUCUUCAGAGGAUAUACGCUGCAACCACAGGGCCAGGAUCACAUUAUCACCGCAAGUGAUUCGUCGGGACUAGACACACGUUGCGAAGGGCGCACCACUUUCAAACUAAUUACAUACAAGAAUAAUAAGUGUUACCGUUAUCCUUUUAGUCUUUUUGAAAAACGUUACACUUUUUGAAUUUUCCCAAUCGAACAACUCGUGCACAAUUAUAUGUAUGUGUACAAUUGUAACGAUUUAAAAUUCAAUGGUCACCACCACCACUACAUUAUCGCUGAUCAAUCGUGUGGUAUAUAGGUAAUAUUUAUUAAAAUGAUUGCUGUUGCAAUUCGGGAACCCCACGAGCCACCUGUACCAUGAUCAAAAUGGAACAAGCCAGGAUCGCAAUUCAUACAAGUAUUCUAAUUGUAUUCGAAUCUUGGAGUUAUAUUCCUUCUAUUCUUUUGACGCUCCCCGCGCACCUCAGAUUUUACCAGUUAAUUAGAAAAAAAAAAUCCAAAAAAUAAAAGUAAAGGGGAAAACGAAUAAAGUAAAGAGAAAAAAAUAAUUAUCAUCCCUCAUUUUUUACGAAAAUCAUUGAUCUUAUGAGUUAUAAUAGUGGUAGUGAACUAAUAUCAAUUAUUAUUAUUAUAGUUGUUGUUAUAAUUGUAAUUAUUUUAUGAUUAUUUUUAUUAAAAUUGUUGUAUCGACUGAUCGAAAAUAAAACAAAACGAUCUAAACAAAGAACGAAAUGACUUCGCUUUGU